rnacentral:rRNA from 1 species
GCGCAGCAGUCGAGAAACUUUACAAUGUGCGAAAGCACGAUAAGGGAACUCUGAGUGCCUCCUAAGGAGGCUGUUCAGGUGUCUAAAAGCACCUGAAGGAAGGGCUGGGUAAGACCGGUGCCAGCCGCCGCGGUAACACCGGCAGCCCAAGUGGUAGCCACGUUUAUUGGGUCUAAAGCGUCCGUAGCCGGCUGGGUAAGUUCCUUGGGAAAUUUGGCUGCUUAACAGUCAAGCUUUCAGGGAAUACUGCCCGGCUUGGGACCGGGAGAGGUCAGAGGUACUCCAGGGGUAGGGGUGAAAUCCAUUAAUCCUUGGGGGACCACCGGUAGCGAAGGCGUCUGACCAGACCGGGUCCGACGGUGAGGGGACGAGGGCUAGGGGGCGCGAACCGGAUUA